rnacentral:rRNA from 1 species
UACGGAAGGCAGCAGUGGGGAAUAUUGCACAAUGGGCGCAAGCCUGAUGCAGCCAUGCCGCGUGUAUGAAGAAGGCCUUCGGGUUGUAAAGUACUUUCAGUCGUGAGGAAGGUGUUAAGGUUAAUAACCUUAGCAAUUGACGUUAGCGACAGAAGAAGCACCGGCUAACUCCGUGCCAGCAGCCGCGGUAAUACGGAGGGUGCGAGCGUUAAUCGGAAUUACUGGGCGUAAAGGGCACGCAGGCGGUUAAUUAAGUUGGAUGUGAAAUCCCCGGGCUUAACCUGGGAAUGGUAUUCAAGCUGGUUAGCUAGAGUCUUGUAGAGGGGGUAGAAUUCCAUGUGUAGCGGUGAAAUGCGUAGAGAUGUGGAGGAAUACCGGUGGCGAAGGCGGCCCCUGGACAAAGGACUGACGCUCAUGUGCGAAAGCGUGGGGAGCAAAACAGGGAUUAGAUACC